AAAUUUAUAAAAUAUAAUAAUAAAAUCUAAAAUUUAAUAAUCUGAAGAAAAAUACGAACAAACUAACACGACAACUUGAUACCGCGCGCUGUUUUAUAUUUAUGGAAUAUUCCUAUCACCUGCGUGGGGCGCGCGCGCACUUUGCCGUGCGCCGGCGCCGCCGCCAGUGCCGCUCGAUCAGCUGUCGAGGAACGACAUCUACUAGUGCUCUGUACGGCACCCUGCCGCGUACGCCCUCGUAUUAAUUCUCACACUGUACUGAUUUUGCUAGUGGCUCAUAUUCACCUUGCACCCUAUCAAGGCUUAAAAUUAUUAAUAAAUAUUAGAAUACUUGAAUAUACAAGUGAUUUAGUGUUAGUUCGUCCCGUACUGGGGACUUCUAAGCGGUUGAAGACCUGUGCUGAAGCUGGCUGAUGGAACUGCAUCCUGCAUUGCUCCGCUGACUGACUGUCGCCGAGGCCAUCCCGACACCCCCGACUGACACCAAACAGGAGAGUGCGGUGUUCGCAACCUUCUACGUGGUCCGACCUUUGUACCGGCCUUACUCAUUGCCCUCUCAUUACGUAUUUACCUAGGUUACUGUUAAGUUUAUGCGAACAUUUUAAAUAUAGUUUAAUUUUUAUUUUUA